rnacentral:rRNA from 1 species
UACGUAGGGGGCUAGCGUUGUCCGGAAUCAUUGGGCGUAAAGAGCGUGUAGGCGGCCCGGUAAGUCCGCUGUGAAAGUCGGGGGCUCAACCCUCGAAUGCCGGUGGAUACUGUCGGGCUAGAGUGCGGAAGAGGCGAGUGGAAUUCCUGGUGUAGCGGUGAAAUGCGUAGAUAUCGAGAGGAACACCUGCGGCGAAGGCGGGUUGCUGGGCUGAUAACUGACGCUGAGGCGCGAAAGCCAGGGGAACGAACGGG